UCCAGCGUAGUGUAGGGGUUAGCAUGUCUGGCUUUCAGCUCUAUUGAAAGGACCCAGGAGACCCGGGAUCAAACCCCGGCGCUGGAA